GAUAAACGCUAGCGGCAAGCUUAACACAUGCAAGUCGAGGGGCAGCAUAGAUUGUAGCAAUACAAUUGGUGGCGACCGGCGCACGGGUGCGUAACGCGUAUGCAACCUACCCGUCACAGGGGGAUAAUCCGGAGAAAUCUGGUCUAAUACCCCAUAACAUAUGGAUCGGCAUCGGUUCAUGUUGAAAUUUUCGGAGGUGACGGAUGGGCAUGCGUAGCAUUAGCUUGUUGGUGAGGUAACGGCUCACCAAGGCGACGAUGCUUAGGGGAACUGAGAGGUUUUCCCCCCACACUGGUACGGAGACACGGACCAGACUCCUACGGGAGGCAGCAGUGAGGAAUAUUGGUCAAUGGGCGCAAGCCUGAACCAGCCAUGCCGCGUGCAGGAUGACGGCUCUAUGAGUUGUAAACUGCUUUUGUACGAGGGUAAAGUGGGUUACGUGUAACCUUUUGAAAGUAUCGUACGAAUAAGGAUCGGCUAACUCCGUGCCAGCCGCCGCGGUAA
rnacentral:rRNA from 1 species